rnacentral:tRNA from 1 species
UGUGGGGAUAGAUUUGGUAAUCUGUCUUGUCUCAUAAGCAAGAAGUGGCAGUUCGAUUCUGUCCCCCACUUCCA